ACGAACGCUGGCGGCGUGCUUAACACAUGCAAGUCGAACGGAAAGGCCCUGCUUUUGUGGGGUGCUCGAGUGGCGAACGGGUGAGUAACACGUGAGUAACCUGCCCUUGACUUUGGGAUAACUUCAGGAAACUGGGGCUAAUACCGGAUAGGAGCUCCUGCUGCAUGGUGGGGGUUGGAAAGUUUCGGCGGUUGGGGAUGGACUCGCGGCUUAUCAGCUUGUUGGUGGGGUAGUGGCUUACCAAGGCUUUGACGGGUAGCCGGCCUGAGAGGGUGACCGGCCACAUUGGGACUGAGAUACGGCCCAGACUCCUACGGGAGGCAGCAGUGGGGAAUAUUGCACAAUGGGCGGAAGCCUGAUGCAGCAACGCCGCGUGCGGGAUGACGGCCUUCGGGUUGUAAACCGCUUUCGCCAUGUGACGAAGCGUGAGUGACGGUAAUGGGUAAAGAAGCACCGGCUAACUACGUGCCAGCAGCCGCGGUGAUACGUAGGGUGCGAGCGUUGUCCGGAUUUAUUGGGCGUAAAGGGCUCGUAGGUGGUUGAUCGCGUCGGAAGUGUAAUCUUGGGGCUUAACCCUGAGCGUGCUUUCGAUACGGGUUGACUUGAGGAAGGUAGGGGAGAAUGGAAUUCCUGGUGGAGCGGUGGAAUGCGCAGAUAUCAGGAGGAACACCAGUGGCGAAGGCGGUUCUCUGGGCCUUUCCUGACGCUGAGGAGCGAAAGCGUGGGGAGCGAACAGGCUUAGAUACCCUGGUAGUCCACGCUGUAAACGGUGGGUACUAGGUGUGGGGUCCAUUCCACGGGUUCCGUGCCGUAGCUAACGCUUUAAGUACCCCGCCUGGGGAGUACGGCCGCAAGGCUAAAACUCAAAGGAAUUGACGGGGCCCCGCACAAGCGGCGGAGCAUGCGGAUUAAUUCGAUGCAACGCGUAGAACCUUACCUGGGUUUGACAUGGAUCGGGAGUGCUCAGAGAUGGGUGUGCCUCUUUUGGGGUCGGUUCACAGGUGGUGCAUGGCUGUCGUCAGCUCGUGUCGUGAGAUGUUGGGUUAAGUCCCGCAACGAGCGCAACCCUUGUUCACUGUUGCCAGCACGUUAUGGUGGGGACUCAGUGGAGACCGCCGGGGUCAACUCGGAGGAAGGUGGGGAUGACGUCAAGUCAUCAUGCCCCUUAUGUCCAGGGCUUCACGCAUGCUACAAUGGCUGGUACAGAGAGUGGCGAGCCUGUGAGGGUGAGCGAAUCUCGGAAAGCCGGUCUCAGUUCGGAUUGGGGUCUGCAACUCGACCUCAUGAAGUCGGAGUCGCUAGUAAUCGCAGAUCAGCAACGCUGCGGUGAAUACGUUCCCGGGGCUUGCACAUACCGCCCGUCAAGUCAUGAAAGUUGGUAACACCCGAAGCCGGUGGCCUAACCGUUGUGGGGGAGCCGUCGAAGGUGGGACUGGUGAUUAGGACUAAG
rnacentral:rRNA from 1 species